rnacentral:RNase_P_RNA from 5 species
CAAUGAUGCUGGCUGUUGCCCCGCUUUGGUGGGGAGGAAAGUCCGGACACUAUAGAGCAAAAUUGUCCCGAUGUAACAUCGGGGUUGAGGAAACUCAAGGAAAGUGCCACAGAAACUAAACCUAUCCUGAGCUAGUCGAAGGAAAAGGAUGAAAAGGGUAAACCCCAAUUAGUGCAAACCAAGUGGAUCUUUUGAAAACAUUUAACGGCUCGUUAGUUAUAUAAAGAUCUUGGCGCAUUAGAUAAAUAACAGUUAAAACAGAAUUCGGCUUAUUAGCAUCUUAAUAAA